UACGUAGGGGGCAAGCGUUGUCCGGAAUUAUUGGGCGUAAAGAGCGCGUAGGCGGUCCGAUAAGUCGGCUGUGAAAGUCAGGGGCUCAACCCUUGGAAGCCGGCCGAUACUGUCGGACUAGAGUCCGGAAGAGGCGAGUGGAAUUCCCGGUGUAGCGGUGAAAUGCGCAGAUAUCGGGAGGAACACCAAUGGCGAAGGCGGGUCUCUGGACAGUUCCUGACACUGAGACACGAAGGCCAGGGGAGCAAACGGG
rnacentral:rRNA from 1 species